rnacentral:lncRNA from 1 species
GGGGUGUUAGGGCUACUACAGCGUUGGCUUCUUGCUCCAUGGUUCCCUCUGUUCCCAAGACGAUGGAAUCAUGUGACUGGUCUGUGACCGAUCACCUCUGAGGUAACUCUUACCAGGCUGCUGAAUCAUGGACUUGACAUUAAAUGAUGUCAGAAGUGGGAUUCAUUGAAGAUUACGUCUUCCACAGUCCGCAGAGUGAGCUUUUGGAUGCCUGCAUGGGCCUAGUCCCCAAGCCCUCUCCCAAGCUAAUGUGAUUUUUAUUGGACAACACAACUCUUUCUCACCUUCUGAUCUCUUCACCUGAAGAAGUAAGGAAGUUUCAAGAAACAUUACACAAGAGAAGAUGGAGACUGUCAAUCAUUAUUACACUAGGCUAUGCAAAAGUGCUAAACUAUAUGUAAGGCUUAGACCUCUUCAGUCUACUCAUUUGUUUAAACCGUUCCUCUAAAGGAUACUGGUUGGCAUAGUAUGUCUAUUCAGACAGAAGAAACGAAGGGAGGGGCAGGAGUUUGAGAAAAUGUCGGAUCCCAUCCCCAUCCUUUCUCCAAGUGAUGUCUUCACCAGUUUUAAAGGUUGAAUAAUUAUUCUUUCUAUUGAUAAAGUAUCCUUAGAAAUUUAACAACUGCUGACUAACUGAAGCUGAGUGGAAAGAAAUCUUGUUUUAACUCAGAAAUGUGUGGGACAACUGAAAGUUUCUUAUGUAAAAUGGAAGCUAUGCUCCAAAAAUGUAGUAAGGCUUUAGCAUGAGCUGGGCCUAAGUUUUACUUUCCCGUAAAUCUUAUGUUUUGGGGGAAAUAAGGUCCUACACCAACUGCCCACCCCCUCCCUUGUUUUGUAACCACUACCCCAGCCUUAUCCUUGCCAAAUUAGGCAAUCUGCUAGCUUCCCAGCUUGUUUUGGGUAAAAUGUAUCUCUUAGUUCCUGGGUAAAGUUAUUUGUCUCUUACCUCAGCCAAUGGGGAUAAAGAGAUUCAGGUAAACAAGUGUGUGUGGCGGGGUUCUUAGAGUUGUUUGUCUAAGGGUAGAUAACUGCUUGUUUGCUGCUUGGAUCCUGCCUGCCUACUCCAGAGUCUGCUCUAGGUCGGUGAUGCCCAAUUCUCAGGCUAGAAUAAAAUUUCUGUUUCUGCUGAGAGAAACCUCUGA